rnacentral:ncRNA from 1 species
GUUCUGGGCCGCACGCGCGCUACACUGAUGUAUUCAACGAGUAUAUAGCCUUGGCCGACAGGCCCGGGUAAUCUUGGGAAAUUUCAUCGUGAUGGGGAUAGAUCAUUGCAAUCACUGGUCUUCAACGAGGAAUGCCUAGUAAGCGCGAGUCAUCAGCUCGCGUUGACUACGUCCCUGCCCUUUGUACACACCGCCCGUCGCUCCUACCGAUUGAAUGGUCCGGUGAAGUGUUCGGAUCGCGGCGACGGGGGCGG